UUUUGGGGAACAAAAGGUGCUUUAUUAGGUGAGAAAAGUUUCUUUUUGGGGCAAAAAGUAACUUUUUGGGGAGGAAAAAUCGCUUUUUGGAGUGGAAAAGUUGCGUUUGGGAGGGGAGAAAAGUCAGGUUUAGGGGACAAAAGGUGCUUUAUUGGGAGAGAAGACACUCUUGGGUGAGAAAAGUUACUUGGAGGGGAGGAAGCUACUUUUAAGGGAAGAAAAAUCACAUUUUGGGGGAUAAGAGUCACUAUUGCAGAGGGAAAAGUUGGUUUUGGGGGACAAAAGUUACUUUUGGGGGACAAAAGGCAGUUUGGGGAUGGAAAGUCCCUUUUGAGGGCAGGAAAGUUACUUUUAGGGGAAGAAAAGUCACUUUUGAGGGACAAAAAUUGCUUUUUCAGGGAGAAAAGACACUUGGUUUUGAGGGGGAAGUUACUUUUGGGAGAGGAAAAGUCAUUUUGGGGUGAAGAAAAGCCACUUUCAGGAGGAGAAAAGUUGCUUUUGGGGGACAAACAUCCUUUUUGGAGGGGGAGCAAAGUUUUGGGGGGCGGGGAAAGUUACCUUGGGAAAUAAAAGCCACUUUUGUGGGGGAAAGAAGUUGCAUGUUUGGGAGAGAAGUCCCUUUUAGGGGGAGGAAACUAUUUGGGGAUGGAGACAAGUUAUUUUUGGGGAAGGAAAAGUCACUUUUUUGUUGAUAAAAGCAACUUCUGGGGGGGGGAGAAAAGUUCCUUUCUAGUGACAAAAGUCCCUCUUGGGGAGAGCAGAGCUGCUUUUGGGGGAGAAAAGUCCCUUUCUGGAGACAAAAGUAGACACACUGCUGAUGGCUCCUGCUCCCAGCCAGCAAGCAAAGCCCUCAACUGUCUCAUGGGUCACCCGCAGGAUGCCAAUGGGGUUUGUGGCACCAGUGAUUGGAAGAAC